GUAACAAAGCUCCAUGCUAUAGCAAACUGAUUUCCUCCACAAGUUUAUAAAGAUGUAGACAACACUUCUGCUUCUUUCAAUUUUCUAUUAUUCUCUUUUUACCCAUCUUCCCGUUAUUUAUAUCCCCUAAAGCGUGUUAAACAGUCCAUGCAACAUUCUUAUAAAGUCAUUUAGUAACUCUUCUUGUUGGGACCAUCUCUCCAUCUUAGGACCAUCUUUACAGGGCAAAAACAUGGGAGAUAGAUUGCGCCUGGCAGUAGGAGUCAUGGGCAAUGCAGCUUCUUUGUUACUUUAUGCUGCACCCAUAUUAACAUUUUCAAGGGUGAUAAGGAAGAAAGGCACGGAGGGAUUUUCAUGCAUUCCUUACAUCAUUGCACUGCUAAACUGUCUGCUUUAUACUUGGUAUGGACUACCUAUUGUAAGCUACAGGUGGGAGAAUUUCCCUGUGGUCACUAUCAACGGUUUAGGGAUCCUUCUCGAGUUUUCCUUCAUUCUGAUAUAUAUUUGGUUUGCUUCAGGAAGAGACAAGAUGAAGGUUGCUGCUACGUUGAUACCUGUUAUCCUAGUGUUCAGCAUCACUGCAAUUAUAUCAGGCUUUCUAUUCCAUGACCACCAUCAUCGCAAGGUGUUUGUGGGCAGUGUUGCACUGGUGGCCUCUGUGGCAAUGUAUGGUUCUCCACUGGUGGUUGUGAAGCAAGUUAUACAAACAAAGAGCAUAGAAUUCAUGCCUUUCUAUUUGUCUUUUUUCUCAUUCAUUGCUAGCUCACUUUGGAUGGCCUAUGGACUGCUGAGCCACGAUCUAUUUCUUGCGUCCCCUAAUCUGGUCGGUAGCCCCUUAGGCAUCCUGCAACUUGUUCUUUAUUGCAAGUACAGGAAAAGGGGAAUUAUAGAAGAACCAAAUAAAUGGGAUUUAGAACAAAAUGAAGAGAAAUCCAAACAGUUGCAGCUUGUGAUCAACAAUGAUGCUAAUGGCAAGAGUUGAAGAAUUCAAUUAAAAGAUCUGAGAAGGUUCCUCCCGGUGUCUUUAUGGAUAUUGAGAAAUGAUUAAUUAUUCCUAAUGAAGUCAAUGUUCUAUAUAGAGGACUGACUUCAAUUCUUGGGGCAACAAAUUUCCAGUAAGAGGACAGUUACAGCUAAUGUUGUUAACAUGGCUCUUUCGUUCAAGAAAUUCUGCUAAUAUUUAAAGCAUGGUAACUAAGCAAUGCCAUAAAAUAAUAAAAAGUUACUUGUAAUAGCAGGUCUCACUUCCAUGUGAUGUGCUAUCUAAAAACAGCAUGAACAUAGGAUAGUAUACUUCAAACUUGAUUUUCCAUUCUCUCAAAAUGAAAAAGAAAAUGAUCCACUUCCCUUAAAUCGAAGCCAAAGUUGGAGCAAUAACAUU